GUCACAGUGUGGAAGUGGAUUAGCAGGGUCUGGUGCAGGGUAAUCACACGCCCCCUGGUGUUGAGCACCAGCGUUUAUGCGGCCAAAUACCAGGACCCUGAUGCAGCGAAUCCCAGGAACUAGGAGCUUGGAAAUAAGCAGACCUCCCAGGAGCUGAAUAGUGAGGCUCUGCAGCAGGAGUGUAUCCAGUACAGAAACAAGGCAAGAAUAGGAUAGGCACCAAACAUGAAAACACUAGUAGAACCCAGAACCAGAGAAAGAUAGG